CAGCGGUGAAAUUUUGCAGCUUAACUGUAACAGUGCCGUUGAUACUGUUUGGCUAGGAUUUGGUUGUAGUGUGCGGAAUGUGUGGUAUAGCGGUGAAAUGCUUAGAUAUCACACAGAACACCGAUUGCGAAGGCAGCACACUAAGUCAUUAUUGACGCUGAGGCACGAAAGUGUGGGGAUCAAACAGGAUUAGAUACCCUGGUAGUCCACACUGUAAACGAUGAUAACUCGCUGUCGGCGAUACACAGUCGGUGGCCAAGCGAAAGCAUUAAGUUAUCCACCUGGGGAGUACGACCGCAAGGUUGAAACUCAAAGGAAUUGACGGGGGCCCGCACAAGCGGAGGAACAUGUGGUUUAAUUCGAUGAUACGCGAGGAACCUUACCCGGGCUCGAACGGUGCAUGAAUAUACGAGAGAUUGUAUAGUCCUUCGGGACAUGUAUCGAGGUGCUGCAUGGUUGUCGUCAGCUCGUGCCGUGAGGUGUCGGCUUAAGUGCCAUAACGAGCGCAACCCUCGUCAUUAGUUGCCAUCAGGUCAAGCUGGGGACUUUAAUGAGACUGCCACCGUAAGGUGUGAGGAAGGGGGGGAGGACGUCAAAUCAGCACGGCCCUUAUGUCCGGGGCGACACACGUGUUACAAUGGGAGGUACAGAGGGCAGCUAUCCGGUGACGGAAUGCUAAUCUCCAAAACCUUUCUCAGUUCGGAUUGGAGUCUGCAACUCGACUCCAUGAAGGUGGAUUCGCUAGUAAUCGCGCAUCAGCCAUGGCGCGGUGAAUAAGUUCCCGGGCCUUGUACACACCGCCCGUCA
rnacentral:rRNA from 1 species